rnacentral:lncRNA from 1 species
GAGAGAUGGAGAUAAUAUCCCAACGAAAAUAAUAUCCGAUUUAUUUAUUUAUUUUUUAAUAAUUUCUGCCUUUCAUGGAAAGAGAGCGAAAGCUCUAAAAGAAGAGAAAAGAAAAGCAGUUAGGAGCAAAAAAGGGUUUCAGUUUCGGUUAAAGGAGUGAGAACCCAAUCGCGAUUGUGAAGAAGAAGCAGUAAAUAACUGAGAGACCAGGCCUCAUCGGAUUCCCUCAUUGAUGCCCCUCGGCGGUGAUGAUCGUCGGCAAUGGAUCGUGUUCGCGGAGGGUAGCAGCACCGGCGGCGGGAGGAGUGCCUCGCUUAUCGGCGGCGGCGUUGGUGGCGGAACCGGAACCGGCUUCUGGGCUUGGACUGCUCCCUCCAAUGUCGGAUUAGCCGUCGCCGUCACGGCCAUGGCCGGAAUCGCCUUGGCCGCCACUGUCGUCUACUCUAGGUAAAAUCGAAUCUCGC